rfam:Rhodococcus sp. BCP1 chromosome, whole genome shotgun sequence.
CGCCGCCGUGCGGGAGAGUUCCGGACCUGUUCCGGACGCCGAAGGAGCAGCACCUCCCCGUCAAUCUCUCAGGCAUCGAGGACCGUGCGGGCACC